rnacentral:lncRNA from 1 species
CUGAGUUCUAAUCCAGACUCCCCCGCUACCAGGGUGACCUUGGGCGAGAUCACAUCUUUCUUUACAUUAGUUGUACUGCUGGUAACCAAGGGAGCACCAUGUCAGAAAACGACCACAUGACGUGCAGAAAACUAGACUUAUCAAGCUCUAUUAUUCCAAGAUGUCAUGUGAUGAUAUACAAGGAAAGAUUAAGAAUCAUAUGAUUCUCCUGCGUAAGCCCUGAAGUAUGUCUACACGAUAACAGCAACAUGGGAAAAAGUCAUCGACAGGUAGUUCGCUCAGCUGUUGAGAUCACUCUCUUGGUGUGCUGCUUUGUGUCUGACAGGAGGAGUAACAACCAGCCUCCGAGAUGAGGACUAAUUCCAGCACUUGUGAAAGACGCUGGGGAAGAUUAAAGACAACUGGAGAAUUCACUGGAGUGGCAUAAAAAAAAAAUUAUCUGAGUGACGUAUUGAUUAAUGAAGCCACUCCUAGAAACCAAUGAAAAUCAUUAAAGAAUAUUCUUAAGUACUUUUAGGAGUUUCUCUUUUUUGGUUUGUG